rnacentral:misc_RNA from 1 species
UUAAGUUCAGCGGGUAUCCCUACCUGAUCCGAGGUCAAGCUGAAAAAUGGGCUUGUGGAAGACCAGUACGUCAAGGCGCGAGGCGCGUUCUACUGCGCUCGAAGCCAACAUACCGGCCGCCAAUGCAUUUGAGGUGAGUCCGCCGCGGGGGAGGACAAGCACCCAACACCAAGCUGAGCUUGAAAGUUACAAUGACGCUC